rnacentral:rRNA from 1 species
GCAAGUUGAACGGUAACAGAGGUGCUUGCACCUGCUGACGAGUAGCGAAAGGGUGAGUAGCCCGUGAGUAACCUGCCUUAAAGUCGGGGAUAGCCCUUGGAAACGAGGAUUAAUACCGGAUGUGGUUAUUCUUCCGCAUGGUUGAAUAACUAAAAUUUUUUGCUUUAAGAUGGGCUCGCGUAUCAUCAGCUAGUUGGUAAGGUAACGGCUUACCAAGGCGACGACUAUUAGGUGGUCUGAGAGGACGAUC